UACGUAGGGGGCUAGCGUUGUUCGGAAUCACUGGGCGUAAAGCGCACGUAGGCGGACUUCUAAGUCAGGGGUGAAAUCCCAAGGCUCAACCUUGGAACUGCCCUUGAUACUGGAAGUCUCGAGUCCGAGAGAGGUGAGUGGAAUUCCGAGUGUAGAGGUGAAAUUCGUAGAUAUUCGGAGGAACACCAGUGGCGAAGGCGGCUCACUGGCUCGGUACUGACGCUGAGGUGCGAAAGCGUGGGGAGCAAACAGG
rnacentral:rRNA from 1 species